rnacentral:sRNA from 1 species
AGAGACGACAGGAGCAGCUGCUGGAGC